GGAAACAAAUAUUUAUUUAAAAAUAGUGAACUGAAACAUCUUAGUAACUAAUUCAAAAAAUCAAACGAAAUUUUGUGAGUAGUGGCGAGCGAAAGCGAAAAGGCUUAUUAUUGCUUUUGUAUGAUUAAAACUUCGGGGUUGGAAUACCAAACUAUAAUUGGUAAUAGUCCAAAUAUAUUUAAAGCAAUAGUUAAAUGUUAAUGGCGGGAUACGUGUAUUCCUGUUAAUAUGUGGGGGGACCACCCUCCAAGCUAAAUGACUUUUGAAAACCAAUAGUAAAUUAGUACCGUGAGGGAAAGCUUGAAAUAGAAGUUGCAAGUUUAAAGCCUGAAAAAGGUAAAUGAAAAAGAUCGAGAAAUCUAGUGUCAAAAAGCAGUUGAAGUAAUUUAAAUUACAUCAGCGUACCUUUUGCAUAAUGGGUCAGCAAGUAUACAUAAUUAGCAAGCUUAAAUUGUUAAAUGUAAGCGUAAUGAAAUUGAAAAUAAGUUAUUUAUGUAUGACCCGAAACCAAGUGAUCUAACCAUGAUCAAGUUGAAGUUUAUGUAAAAGUAAAUGAAGGACUGAACUCGUGUAUGUUGCAAAAUACUGGGAU
rnacentral:rRNA from 1 species